rnacentral:lncRNA from 1 species
CGCUAAACUUGUACAACAAUCGUAUCAAAUUCUAUAAUAUUGAUAACGAUGCGUGAACAAACAGAAUGUCACAAAUAGGAGUACAAACGACAACACGAACUCAACCAAAAACUGCCGGGGAUUUCAGAUGCUGCACCUGUUAUGUUGCUCAUGUUAAAACAAAUCCGCUAAAUAGUCUAAUUCGGUGGGUCAUAUUCGUGAAAAGGGAACGGGAUUGUAGUUACGAUAUAAGGAUUAUCCGAUAUCAUCUGUAAAACAGAUAUUUAAUAACGUCAACCAACUCGUGAUGUCGUCCUUAAAAUUUGAGAAGAAAUGC